rnacentral:rRNA from 1 species
GAUGAACGCUGGCGGCGUGCCUAAUACAUGCAAGUCGAGCGAACGGACGAGAAGCUUGCUUUUCUGAUGUUAGCGGCGGACGGGUGAGUAACACGUGGAUAACCUCCCUAUAAGACUGGGAUAACUUCGGGAAACCGGAGCUAAUACCGUAUAAUAUUUUGAACCGCAUGGUUCAAAAGUGAAAGACGGUCUUGCUGUCACUUCUCGAUGGAUCCGCGCUGCAUUAGCUAGUUGGUAAGGUAACGGCUUACCAAGGCAACGAUGCAUAGCCGACCUGAGAGGGUGAUCGGCCACACUGGAACUGAGACACGGUCCAGACGCCUACGGGAGGCAGCAGUAGGGAAUCUUCCGCAAUGGGCGAAAGCCUGACGGAGCAACGCCGCGUGAGUGAUGAAGGUCUUCGGAUCGUAAAACUCUGUUAUUAGGGAAGAACAUAUGUGUAAGGAACUGUGCACAUCUUGACGGUACCUAAUCAGAAAGCAACGGCUAACUACGUG